rnacentral:rRNA from 1 species
CAUAGGUUAAUGAGGCGAACCGGGGGAACUGAAACAUCUAAGUACCCCGAGGAAAAGAAAUCAACCGAGAUUCCCCCAGUAGCGGCGAGCGAACGGGGAGGAGCCCAGAGCCUGAAUCAGUGUGUGUGUUAGUGGAAGCGUCUGGAAAGGCGCGCGAUACAGGGUGACAGCCCCGUACACAAAAAUGCACAUAUUGUGAGCUCGAUGAGUAGGGCGGGACACGUGGUAUCCUGUCUGAAUAUGGGGGGACCAUCCUCCAAGGCUAAAUACUCCUGACUGACCGAUAGUGAACCAGUACCGUGAGGGAAAGGCGAAAAGAACCCCGGCGAGGGGAGUGAAAAAGAACCUGAAACCGUGUACGUACAAGCAGUGGGAGCCUCUUAAUGGGGUGACUGCGUACCUUUUGUAUAAUGGGUCAGCGACUUAUAUUCUGUAGCAAGGUUAACCGA